UUUAUUCUUAGAGGUGAAAGGAAAUUGAGAAAAAACAAAUGGAGAAAAAGAUACCGCCAAGCACUUCACAAUAUCUUAAGCGCCAAACUUACCGCUAAAUUAAUGGAUCUUUUCAUUUAAAAAGUUAAUGAAAUACCAAUUUACUAAUUAAAUGUCCCAAUUGUUCACGUCUCCUUAGAAAUUUUUCCCAAAACAUCACCAUUUCUCCUCCAUGGAAACCGCCGCUCCCCUUCUCCUUUCUCUAACCUUUCUUCUUCACAUUAAAUUAUUAAUUCUCCACGAUCAACUUUAAUUUUAACCUUCACUCCCACACCUCAGUCUCUUGGUUAUCACCCGGCAUCAUAGCUCACAACCCAUCUUGUCUCUCACUCCUAGCUUCAUCGCAAAGGUAAAUAUUUAAACCUAAUUUCCUAUUGGCAUUUGAAUUCUCGCCAAUUUUUCCUAAUUCGACUUAAUUGUUGCAGAUAAUGUACAUCUUGAUGCUUAGGUAGGGACGUAGAGACACACGAUUUGUAACACAGGCUGCAUUGUGAAAUCGGCCCCCAAACGAGCAUGCUGGUGGUGGGUGCUACUCAGUCAGAUUUGUCAUUCGACCUCGUCUUGCCCCUGGCUAAUUUUUUACGUGAUGCGUCACUAUUAUCAAUUCAAUUCCAAUAAAUUUAGUGAAACUCCUUCUUUAUUGCUUUGAUGCAUAUAUGUUCUUUAAUUUUUGCAAGUUAGCAUGAUUGGUGUUGUUACUGUGUUGUGUCUUCUGAGUGUUAUGUUUUCUUGUGCAAUUUAGAAUAUAUCUAAUUCCUUAUUCCUGAGUUCGUUUAUGUGUGCACAAGCAAAUACAAUGAUAUCUCUCUUUUUAUUUAUGUGAUAUAUUGCAUCAUUGAAGUGUUCUGCUCCAUUUAUUUUGAAAUAGAUUUGCACAUUAGGAGUAUGAAGGCCUGGAAAUUAAAUUACUAAAGAAAAGGUUAGAUUUAUUGAAUGUUUGAGUUAAUUUACUAGAUGGAGUGUUUUUGAGCUGCGUACUGUUGUUCUUAUUUGUGAAUUUCUAAUAAUUUGCUAGAGUUAUUCUCCCAUUUUUGUUCUUGUGCAGGUUAGUUUUACAGAGUCCAUUGAAAUGUGCCAAUUUAUAGUGCAAGUUACAACACAAAGAAAUUCGAAACUUGUUUCCUUGGAGUUGGAAUGAAUGAGUGAGUAUAAUAUUCAAUUACAAUAUGCAUAUAUAGAAAUAUUUGUAAGUUGACUAUUAAUUUUUUUUAUCUAAUUUUCUUGUGUUUUCUGCAUAUUUGUUUUGUAGUACUACUUACUUGAUGAUUACUAGCAAUACAACUUGAAGAUGAAUUAAAUUAUUUUGACAAAAUGGUUGUUCCACCAUGUCAUUUGGUAUGUAGUGUAGUUUGCUUCGUUAGUUAUGUAUUAGAAUCAAUUUUUUGAAAUCUUAAGUAACUCAAAUAUAUAUUUCAGGUGGCACUUGGAGGCAUCAAUGAAAUGUCAGAUACUUGGACUCAAGAUAUUAACACAAUUUUUCCACAAGAAGAAUUUGGAGAAUGCAACUAAGCUACCUGUUUAUAGCUUGGAAAUAAGGAAUUUUAUUCCUUACCAACAACCUUAGUCUAAUUUUCUUUUAGAAAUAUUUGGUAGGAUCUAGAGCACUAUUUUGUUAGCAAUAAGACAAUAUUAUCUUAAUACUUGAUCUUGUUUAUUGAUCAUUGUAAUGAAGUUAGAUUUAUUUUUGAAAUGAACAAAGUAUUGGCGUUAUUAUUAA
rnacentral:lncRNA from 1 species